AAGUCGUAACAAGGUUUCCGUAGGUGAACCUGCGGAAGGAUCAUUACAGAGUUCAUGCCUCUCGGGGCAGACCUCCCACCCUUUGUAUACAUUGCCUCUUGUUGCUUUGGCGGGCCGCCUUUUCGGCCGUCGGCCCCGGCCGGCGCGCGCCCGCCAAAGACCCCCCAACCCUGUUUUACAGUGUCCGUCCGAGUACUAUAUAAUAGUUAAAA
rnacentral:misc_RNA from 1 species